GUGAGGAAUUUUCCGCAAUGGGCGAAAGCCUGACGGAGCAAUGCCGCGUGAAGGAUGAAGGCCUAUGGGUUGUAAACUUCUUUUCUUAGAGAAGAAUAUUGACGGUAUCUGAGGAAUAAGCAUCGGCUAACUCCGUGCCAGCAGCCGCGGUAAUACGGAGGAUCCAAGCGUUGUCCGGAUUUAUUGGGUUUAAAGGGUGCGUAGGCGGAUCUUUAAGUCAGUGGUGAAAGCCUGCAGCUUAACUGUAGAAUUGCCAUUGAAACUGAAGAUCUUGAAUGUGGUUAAAGUAGGCGGAAUGUAUCAUGUAGCGGUGAAAUGCUUAGAUAUGAUACAGAACACCGAUAGCGAAGGCAGCUUGCUGAACCAUUAUUGACGCUGAGGCACGAAAGCGUGGGGAGCGAACAGGAUUAGAUACCCCAGUAGUCC
rnacentral:rRNA from 1 species